rnacentral:rRNA from 1 species
UACGGGGGGGGCAAGCGUUGUUCGGAAUUACUGGGCGUAAAGAGCUCGUAGGCGGUCUGUCACGUCGGCUGUGAAAACCCGAGGCUCAACCUCGGGCCUGCAGUCGAUACGGGCAGACUAGAGUUCGGUAGGGGAGACUGGAAUUCCUGGUGUAGCGGUGAAAUGCGCAGAUAUCAGGAGGAACACCGGUGGCGAAGGCGGGUCUCUGGGCCGAAACUGACGCUGAGGAGCGAAAGCGUGGGGAGCGAACAGG